UACCUGGCUCAGGAUAAACGCUGCGGCGCACAUAAGACAUGCAAGUCGAACGAAGAUACGUUACAAAAAGGAAUUGUAAGAUUUAUCGGAUUGAGAUUUUGUAACAAUGGUCUUAGUGGCGGACUGGUGAGUAACGCGUAAGGAACCUGCCUUUUAGAGGGGAAUAACAAUGAGAAAUCAUUGCUAAUACCGCAUAUGCCAUAGUUAUCACAUGAUAAUAGUGGGAAAGGAGCAAUUCGCUAAAAGAUGGCCUUGCGUCUGAUUAGAUAGUUGGUAAGGUAACGGCUUACCAAGUCGACGAUCAGUAGCCGGACUGAGAGGUUGAACGGCCACAUUGGGACUGAGAUACGGCCCAGACUCCUACGGGAGGCAGCAGUCGGGAAUAUUGCGCAAUGGAGGAAACUCUGACGCAGUGACGCCGCGUAUAGGAAGAAGUUUUUCGGAAUGUAAACUAUUGUCGUUAGGGAAGAGAAAGGACAGUACCUAAGGAGGAAGCUCCGGCUAACUAACGUG
rnacentral:rRNA from 1 species